UAUUUAAUCCCAUCAAAUUUUUGCAAUUUUCACACUUCAUUUCGUUAUUCAGUAACCCAUGGUACGCUAAGAAUUUUAACACCCCUAUAUUAUCCAAAGAUAAGAUCCAAAAAAAAGUUAUAACCUCAAAAUCUGGUGAGUACUGAAAAUGUGUUAACAUUAAACAUAAUGUAUUAAUCAAUUACCUCAUUAGAUUCGACAAUAUUAGUUAUUUUUUUGAACCAUUUUUGUAAAUUACAACAAAAAAUAUCAAAUAUAUGAAAGUGAAACGUAAACAAACUUUUUUUCAUUUUUUGUAUCAUUAAUUUUCAUUUUUUUUAUUAAUCUUUUCUUUAUUAAUUCUUUGUUCCCUUUCAUUUGAAUAUGCCACAGGUAAAAAGGGUGGCAUUGAGCGGGGAAGAAAAGUCUGACCAUUAUUGUAUAUUAAAGGAUGGAAAAAAAUGCUGAAAAAAAUUCAAGGCGCCUUCUUUUUAGGAUAGGGCCGAUCCAUGUGCCUUUUGUGUUUAUUUCUUAAUUUUUCGCUUUAUCAACAAUUUUGGCCUUUUUAUUGGGUUUAAAUGAUUAACUACCGAGCUAUACAUAAACCCAUAAUUCCAGUACUGAAAACCAUAAGAACUCUAAGCUAAGAACAUUAUUCUUACAUGAAUCCCGGUAAUCUUACUUUUACUAGGCACUAAACAAUAAAAUCAAAAUCCAUUUUCUAAAUUACAAUAAUAGAGUUUUAGACAUUCUGAGCUCGGUUAUACUAUCAGAUCAGUAUGUUUUACGAAAUUUGAAUCACUUGAAAAUUAUUUUAGCAUUUUUAUGAAAAUAAGUAAAAAUGAUAGAUUUUCGAAUAUCAUACAUUAGUUAAGUCUUAUACAAAUCUGAUAUAAUAUUCGAGCUCAUCAUGUGCAAGAACCUAUUAAAUUAAAAUACCAAAUUUUUUAUGGACCUGUAAAAGUUAGGAUUACCGGAAUCUCUUUUAUUUUCAGUGCGAAUUCAAUAUUUAUUUUGGUACCAAUCAAUUGAAGACUACUGACUUUCUAUUGCGAAUGAUAUCCGUUUUUUGGAAAAUGACUGAGUUGGUCUCUUUGU